rnacentral:rRNA from 1 species
CCUACGGGUGGCAGCAGUGAGGAAUAUUGGUCAAUGGACGAGAGUCUGAACCAGCCAAGUAGCGUGAAGGAUGACUGCCCUAUGGGUUGUAAACUUCUUUUAUAUGGGAGUAAAAUGUUCCACGUGUGGGAUUUUGUAUGUACCAUAUGAAUAAGUAUCGGCUAACUCCGUGCCAGCAGCCGCGGUAAUACGGAGGAUCCGAGCGUUAUCCGGAUUUAUUGGGUUUAAAGGGAGCGUCGGUGGAUUGUUAAGUCAGUUGUGAAAGUUUGCGGCUCAACCGUAAAAUUGCAGUUGAAACUGGCAGUCUUGAGUACAGUAGAGGUGGGCGGAAUGCGUGGUGUAGCGGUGAAAUGCUUAGAUAUCACGAAGAACUCCGAUUGCGAAGGCAGUUCACUGGACUGCAACUGACACUGAGGCUCGAAAGUGUGGGUAUCAAACAGGAUUAGAUACCCUGGUAGUC